GAUGAACGCUGGCGGCGUGCCUAAUACAUGCAAGUCGAGCGAGAUGUUAGCGCAUGAACCUUCGGGGGAUUAUGCUAACGGAAAGCGGCGGACGGGUGAGUAACGCGUAGGCAACCUGCCCCUGACAGAGGGAUAGCCAUUGGAAACGAUGAUUAAAACCUCAUGACACCGUAGAAGCACAUGCUUCAUCGGUCAAAGAUUUAUCGGUCAGGGAUGGGCCUGCGUCUGAUUAACUAGUUGGUGAGGUAACGGCUCACCAAGGUGACGAUCAGUAGCCGACCUGAGAGGGUGAUCGGCCACAUUGGAACUGAGACACGGUCCAAACUUCUACGGAAGGCAGCAGUAGGGAAUCUUGCACAAUGGGCGAAAGCCUGAUGCAGCAACGCCGCGUGAAGGAUGAAGGCCUUCGGGUUGUAAACUUCUGUUCUAAGGGAAGAAACAAAUGACGGUACCUUAGGAGCAAGCCCCGGCUAACUACGUGCCAGCAGCCGCGGUAAUACGUAGGGGGCAAGCGUUAUCCGGAAUUAUUGGGCGUAAAGAGUGCGUAGGUGGUUACCUAAGCGCAAGGUUUAAUUUAGAGGCUCAACCUCUACUUGCCUUGCGAACUGGGCUACUUGAGUGCAGGAGGGGAAAGCGGAAUUCCUAGUGUAUCGGUGAAAUGCGUAGAUAUAGGAGGAACACCAGCGGCGAAGGCGGCUUUCUGGACGGUACUGACACUGAGCACUAAAGCGUGGGUAGCAAACAGG
rnacentral:rRNA from 1 species